rnacentral:tRNA from 1 species
UAUAAGAUGCCUGAAAAAAGGAUAAUUUUGAUGGGAUUAAUAAUGUGAAAUUUCACUCUUAUAA